rnacentral:rRNA from 1 species
GACGAACGCUGGCGGCGUGCCUAAUACAUGCAAGUGGGACGCAAGAGAACACACUGUGCUUGCACACCGUGUUUUCUUGAGUCGCGAACGGGUGAGUAACGCGUAGGUAACCUGCCUAUUAGCGGGGGAUAACUAUUGGAAACGAUAGCUAAUACCGCAUAAUAUUAAUUAUUGCAUGAUAAUUGAUUGAAAGAUGCAAGCGCAUCACUAGUAGAUGGACCUGCGUUGUAUUAGCUAGUUGGUAAGGUAAGAGCUUACCAAGGCGACGAUACAUAGCCGACCUGAGAGGGUGAUCGGCCACACUGGGACUGAGACACGGCCCAGACUCCUACGGGAGGCAGCAGUAGGGAAUCUUCGGCAAUGGACGAAAGUCUGACCGAGCAACGCCGCGUGAGUGAAGAAGGUUUUCGGAUCGUAAAGCUCUGUUGUAAGUCAAGAACGUGUGUGAGAGUGGAAAGUCACACAGGACGUAGCUACCAAAAGGACGCA